UCCGGGGGGGGCAAGCGUUGUUCGGAAUUACUGGGCGUAAAGGGCUCGUAGGCGGCCAACUAAGUCAGACGUGAAAUCCCUCGGCUUAACCGGGGAACUGCGUCUGAUACUGGAUGGCUUGAAUCCGGGAGAGGGAUGCGGAAUUCCAGGUGUAGCGGUGAAAUGCGUAGAUAUCUGGAGGAACACCGGUGGCGAAGGCGGCAUCCUGGACCGGCAUUGACGCUGAGGAGCGAAAGCCAGGGGAGCAAACGGG
rnacentral:rRNA from 1 species